rnacentral:rRNA from 1 species
AUUGAACGCUGGCGGCAGGCCUAACACAUGCAAGUCGAACGAGUGGCGGACGGGUGAGUAAUGUCUGGGAAACUGCCCGAUGGAGGGGGAUAACUACUGGAAACGGUAGCUAAUACCGCAUACCAUCGGAUGUGCCCAGAUGGGAUUAGCUAGUAGGUGGGGUAACGGCUCAGCUCGGCGACGAUCCCUAGCUGGGCUGAGAGGAUGACCAGCCACACUUGAACGGAGACACGGUCCAGACUCCUACGGGAGGCAGCAGUGGGGAAGAUUGCACAAUGGGCGAAAGCCUGAAGCAGCCAUGCCGCGUGUAUGAAGAAGGCCUGCGGGUUGUAAAGUACUUUCAGCGAGGAGGCGUUACUCGCAGAAGAAGCACCGGCUAACUCCGUGCCAGCAGCCGCGGUAUUC